AAUAACACAUUGGACACAGUGAACCAUUCACUGUGUUUAGACACGGUGAACCAUUCACCGUGUUUGAACACGGUAAAUAGUUCACCGUGUUCAACUUAUACACCCUGGCCCCAGCCCUGCUCGCGUGGCGCUGAUGUGGCGCUUGCGUGGCAGGGAUAGGGCCAUUUUUGCAAAUUAAAUUUUGACAGUGCCAUUUUUGAAAUAAAAUUUUUCUAGGGGGCUAAAUGCAAAAAAAGCCCAUUAUUAAUUUUAAUUUUUAGCCCAACUUUAAAAAACAAAUUCAGCUUAUUUAUAAAAGAAGCCCAUAAGCCCAUUUAUAUUUAGAAUUUCUUAUUUUCACUCAUGACCCAUAAGCCCAUGAAAUAAAUUCCACUCUUUCUAUUCCUAUGUCCAGCUAACUCCUAACCCUAAAUAGCUUUGACCCAAUUUUUUUCACACUGCAGCCGCACACAACAUUACAACAACACACAUGAGUCUCUCUCUUUCUCUCUCUCUCAGACUCGCACAAGGACACAAGCACCGCACAGUGCCAUAGCCGCCUCUCUCUUUCUCUAUCUCUCUCAGUCUCUCACAACCCUAGACCCUAAUUCCCUUUGCCAUUCGCACACCCUCGGCAGCAAUUCUUCGCCGUUCGCAAACCCCCGGCAGCGAACUUCGGCGGUGCGCUUUCAACAGGUUCAUUUUAUUGAUCUUCAUCUUUUUUUUUCUUUUUCUUU
rnacentral:lncRNA from 1 species